AGUCUCUCUCUCGCUUUGGAGAGGGAUGGACCUAGCUGCCUGAAGGAGCAAAGGUUACUGGGGCCAGAGCAGUGCUGGGGAGCUCAGGCCUGGCGACCUCCCAAGCUGUGGCCUGACAGGAAGGCCUAGAGAGCCUAAACACAGGGCGCAGGCUCAAGAGGGAGAAACCCCCAAGAGUUGUACUCCUCUGUCAGGGAAAGGACCUCUUCCAAGAGCCAGAGCACAGUUUCCAGUGAGAUGCACAUGGAAGGGUGACAGGGACCCAGCCAAUAUAGCCCAGAUGACCCGAGUGCAGGCAUCAGAUGGCUCCAGCAUAAAAACAGGAUAAGAAAAUUUAUUAUCUACAGUUCAGAAAUGCCCACCCUUAUGGAUACUCCUGGCCUAGGUGGAAGAAGCUCUCUGAAACCAUCUUGGGCAAAUUACAGAAAAACCAGAAGAAAAGGAACUGGAACAGCUGCAAAAAAGUGUGAAAAGCUACUUCCCUUGGAAAAAAUAUUUGAAAAAUAAGGAGGAAAGGAAGGAUAAUAAAUAAAAGGAAGGAUCCAUCAUUCUGCGCUGGACAUAAUUCAGAGCACAGAAGACAGUGAAGAGGAGAUAACUCAACCAAAACCUCAAAGUGAGUCUCUUCAAAUCUCUCUGAGAAGACAAUGGAAAGAGAGAGAGAGAGAGAGAGAGAGAGACAGGAUGAACUCAAAAUUGCAGGUUGCCAUAUGAGAAUUGAUGGACAAGGACAAAACCUUGACAAUUCUCAAAAUACAACUGAAGAAUAUGAAAUUCCUGCAGGUUCCAGGAGAAUCCUCUUGAACUCUCAGAAAAGAAUUUACCAGAAUUGACCUUGACUGUAUGGGUAAAAGUUUGUGGAAUAAUGAAACAAGUGGGGGAGAAAUACCUGGUCGACUUAAGCAACUUUCGUAAUAUUAUCCAAGGAAAAAAUGCUGGGUAACACCAGGUAGAAGGAAUCGCUGUACGUAGCCCUCCUGGGGAAGAAGGUUAGAACUUCAAGGAAGUGCCUUUGAGCAGGAGGCUACAGCAAACCUGUCGUUUAGAAGAGAAAUGGAAGGAUCUGAGACCUGUUGGUGGACACAGCUAUGCUGAGGAAAAAGGGAAUUCUGGAGGCCUGAAAUAAGAUGCGUAUUGCAAAGCUAAUAAAUGCCCGUUACUGAA